GGCGCUUCGUACCGAUCUCUGGAAGGAGGACAUCGACGAAAUUCGACCCUUUCGGUGCGAGGAAAUCCUGACCACUAACCUGCGCCAAGCAGAACAACUAGAGCUGCGGAUACCGUUAUUGGGAAACCAGCCCUCAGAGGAAUGGGUAAGCGAACUGGAGACGCUAGUUGAGACUGAGGUGUGGCUGGAUGAUUCCUAUUGGGCCCUGUGGUGGCAUGCUUACCACCUCUACCCAUGGCUGAUCGAGUACAAGUGUAUUGAGGGGGAAGACUACAAUGGCCCUGGUUUGUUGUGGGAUACUAUUGAAACUAGUCUCUGGUUCGGAGACAUCGACAUUGCUCGUUUCUGGUCCAUCCGAGCUGAGCUAGCAGACAACUGGGACCUUACGGAGAUCCAUGCCAUUCAGCCAGAUCUAUCUUUUCUUGCCAACCGAGAG
rnacentral:lncRNA from 1 species